rnacentral:misc_RNA from 1 species
AUAGCAUUGAGGAUCGUGGGAUUAAUCAGGUCUAUAUAAUUGGAGGAGAUGGAUCUCAGAAGGGAGCCUCCGUGAUUUUUGAGGAAAUCCAGAGGCGUGGUCUGAAAGUUGCAGUUGCUGGCAUCCCAAAGACAAUAGAUAAUGACAUUCCGGUUAUCGACAAGUCUUUCGGCUUUGAUUCUGCUGUUGAAGAGGCCCAACGAGCAAUUAAUGCAGCCCAUGUGGAAGCUGAGAGUGUCGAGAACGGGAUUGGAGUUGUGAAGUUGAUGGGUCG